ACUACGGGUGGCAGCAGUGGGGAAUAUUGGGCAAUGGGCGCAAGCCUGACCCAGCAACGCCGCGUGAAGGAAGAAGGCUUUCGGGUUGUAAACUUCUUUUCUCAGGGAAGAAGAAAGUGACGGUACCUGAGGAAUAAGCCACGGCUAACUACGUGCCAGCAGCCGCGGCAAUACGUAGGUGGCAAGCGUUAUCCGGAUUUAUUGGGUGUACAGGGCGUGUAGGCGGGGGGGCAAGUCAGUUGUGAAAACUCAGGGCUCAACCCUGAGCCUGCAUUUGAAACGGUGUUUGUUGAGUGCUGGAGAGGCAAGCGGAAUUCCGGGUGUAGCGGUGAAAUGCGUAGAUAUACGGAGGAACACCAGUGGCGAAGGCGGAUUUCUGGACUGUAACUGACGCUGAGGCGCGAAAGCGUGGGGAGCAAACAGGAUUAGAUACCCCGGUAGUC
rnacentral:rRNA from 1 species